GAGACGCUAGCGGCAGGCCUAAUACAUGCAAGUCGAGGGGUAACAUGAGUACUUGUGCUUGAUGACGACCGGCGCACGGGUGCGUAACGCGUAUGCAACCUACCCAUAACUGGGGGAUAGCCCGGGGAAACUCGGAUUAAUACCCCAUGGUAUUAUCAGAGGGCAUCUGAAGAUAAUUAAAGAUUCAUUGGUUAUGGAUGGGCAUGCGUAUGAUUAGCUAGUUGGUGAGGUAAGAGCUCACCAAGGCGAUGAUCAUUAGGGGUCCUGAGAGGGUGAUCCCCCACACUGGUACUGAGACACGGACCAGACUCCUACGGGAGGCAGCAGUAGGGAAUAUUGGUCAAUGGACGAAAGUCUGAACCAGCCAUGCCGCGUGCAGGAUGAAUGCCCUAUGGGUUGUAAACUGCUUUUAUAAGAGAAGAAACUUCGGUUGACGGUAUCUUAUGAAUAAGCACCGGCUAACUCCGUGCCAGCCGCCGCGGUAAUACAAGCCGAA
rnacentral:rRNA from 1 species